CACGUAGGGCGCAAGCGUUGUCCGGAAUUAUUGGGCGUAAAGAGCUCGUAGGCGGUCUGUUGCGUCCGCUGUGAAAACCCGGGGGCUUAACCCUGGGCUGGCAGUGGAUACGGACAGACUAGAGGUAGGUAGGGGAGAAUGGAAUUCCCGGUGUAGCGGUGAAAUGCGCAGAUAUCGGGAGGAACACCGGUGGCGAAGGCGGUUCUCUGGGCCUUACCUGACGCUGGAGGAGCGAAAGCGUGGGGAGCGAACAGG
rnacentral:rRNA from 1 species